rnacentral:rRNA from 1 species
UACGUAGGGUGCGAGCGUUAAUCGGAAUUACUGGGCGUAAAGCGUGCGCAGGCGGUUCGUUGUGUCGGUGGUGAAAUCCCCGGGCUUAACCUGGGAAUGGCCAUGGAAACUGGCGAACUGGAGUGCGGCAGAGGGGGUGGAAUUCCGCGUGUAGCAGUGAAAUGCGUAGAGAUGCGGAGGAACACCGAUGGCGAAGGCAGCCCCCUGGGUCAAGACUGACGCUCAUGCACGAAAGCGUGGGGAGCAAACAGG